rnacentral:rRNA from 1 species
UGGGGAAUAUUGCACAAUGGGCGAAAGCCUGAUCCAGCCAUGCCGCGUGUGUGAAGAAGGUCUUCGGAUUGUAAAGCACUUUAAGUUGGGAGGAAGGGCAGUAAGUUAAUACCUUGCUGUUUUGACGUUACCGACAGAAUAAGCACCGGCUAACUCUGUGCCAGCAGCCGCGGUAAUACAGAGGGUGCAAGCGUUAAUCGGAAUUACUGGGCGUAAAGCGCGCGUAGGUGGUUUGUUAAGUUGGAUGUGAAAGCCCCGGGCUCAACCUGGGAACUGCAUCCAAAACUGGCAAGCUAGAGUACGGUAGAGGGUGGUGGAAUUUCCUGUGUAGCGGUGAAAUGCGUAGAUAUAGGAAGGAACACCAGUGGCGAAGGCGACCACCUGGACUGAUACUGACACUGAGGUGCGAAAGCGUGGGGAGCAAACA